CCUACGGGUGGCAGCAGUGAGGAAUAUUGGUCAAUGGACGAGAGGCUGAACCAGCCAAGUCGCGUGAAGGAUGACUGCCCUACGGGUUGUAAACUUCUUUUAUAUGGGAAUAAAAUGUUCCACGUGUGGGAUUUUGUAUGUACCAUAUGAAUAAGGAUCGGCUAACUCCGUGCCAGCAGCCGCGGUAAUACGGAGGAUCCGAGCGUUAUCCGGAUUUAUUGGGUUUAAAGGGUGCGUAGGUGGAUUGUUAAGUCAGUUGUGAAAGUUUGCGGCUCAACCGUAAAAUUGCAGUUGAAACUGGCAGUCUUGAGUACAGUAGAGGUGUGCGGAAUUCGUGGUGUAGCGGUGAAAUGCUUAGAUAUCACGAAGAACUCCGAUUGCGAAGGCAGCUCACUGGACUGCAACUGACACUGAGGCACGAAAGUGUGGGUAUCGAACAGGAUUAGAUACCCGGGUAGUC
rnacentral:rRNA from 1 species